GGGCCCGCGUUCCAUUCGCUAGUUGGUGAGGUAACGGCCCACCAAGGCGACGAUGGGUAUCCGGCCUGAGAGGGUGUACGGACACAUUGGGACUGAGAUACGGCCCAAACUCCUACGGGAGGCAGCAGCUAAGAAUAUUCCGCAAUGGACGAAAGUCUGACGGAGCGACGCCGCGUGGAUGAAGAAGGCCGAAAGGUUGUAAAAUCCUUUUGCUGAUGAAGAAUAAGUGGGGUAGGGAAGGGCCGCAUGAUGACAUUAGUCGGUGAAUAAGCCCCUUUUUAACGGGCGUGCCAGCAGCCGCGGUAAU
rnacentral:rRNA from 1 species